GCCGUCUAUUAUCAUCUGCUACUUUGUCUGUCCGGUUAGCGGAGAAUUCGUUGAAGAUACGAUACUGAGGAGAAAUAUUCGUUUUAAGGACAAAUUUUGCAGCUUAUUAAUGUGGCAACAGCACCGCGCUAAUUAUCCUUAUUAAUGCAGUGGCGUCAGGAGAAGGAGACGGCAUCAUAAAAUUGUCAACUUUUUGUGUUUAAAAUCGCGAAAGUUGGCGAUUUUAUUUUGUUUUUGCGGUGCCUGUCCCUUGUUGUCGGUUGCGUUGAAGGAUUUACGUGCGUGGCGUCAGGAGGAUGGAGUCGCAUAUAUGUAUCUGCUAGUUUGCCUGGCAAGUUUUGCGUUUUUCUGUUAUCGGAAGAUUAUUGAACAUACGAUGCUGCGGAAAAUUAUGCAAUUUAGGGAAGGAUUUUGAGGCUUUUAAAUGUGGUGUCAGCGCCGCGCUAGUGAUCCUUGAUAAUGCAGUGGCAUCAGGAGGUGGAGACGGCGUCGUAAAAUUGUCAACUAAUGUAGACGCUCGUCGAUCUGGGAGAUUUUAAUUUUUACUUCGUACCCCCGCCAGAAGGACGGAAGCAUCGAGUCGCUGGAGGCCUCGAGAGUCAUUGGAUGUCAGCUUCGCCGGUCGUCGGGAAGAGGAAGCCUGAAGAAAGAUCCCGCACAGCGGUCGUCACGUAGUUUUGGAGCUGCUGCCAUUAUUGUGGUUGGAUAUGUCUCGUUUUGGCAGAGGAGUAGUCAGUGAUGAUUGUGGCUUGGUCGUUCAUCUAGAGUGGCUAGGUGCGCCGCGUUUUGUGGCCAUUUCGCCAGGGUUUGCAGCUUGGAGCCUCCGGAACGUGAUUAGUUGCCGAGGACCGUCGCAACGAUUGGAGCCGUGGAAAUGGAAGUAAAAUUAGAGAUUGGGUACAUUUGGUGGGAGGUACAUUAGGUGGAAGCUAAUCUGGUGGUAUUAUAAUUGUUUUUAUGGUUGCACUAAUAUUUUGUUUUUCAGGUACGUUUUGUAACUAAUUAGGAGGCCCUUUGUUUUUGAAACAUAGCAACGGAAGAGCCGCGGGUUUAGUGUCGUCGUUGUUGUUGCUGCUGGCUUCACUUUUAGAUACUGUUGCGCGCGCGCCUCUGUCUGUUUUAUAAUCUCAACUGACUUGCAAAAUUGGGCUAGGCGCGUAGGCGGGCUUUUUCUAUAGCUCAAAGGCACGGCGGAAUAUCGAUAUGUUAUCAAUUUCCCUGCAGCUCGUUAUCGAUAUUUCACGCCUUUUUUUUUGGCGGGCUUUUUGGCUAUUAUCUUUUUUGCCGCCAG